rnacentral:misc_RNA from 1 species
GAACUGCCACAAUGGACUGGAUGGAGCAAGAGCAAGAGAGGGGGAUUACAAUUACUUCUGCUGCUACUACCACCUUCUGGAACAAGCAUCGCAUCAACAUUAUUGAUACUCCUGGUCACGUGGACUUCACUCUUGAAGUAGAGCGUGCCCUUAGGGUUUUAGAUGGUGCUAUAUGCUUGUUUGACAGUGUUGCUGGUGUGGAACCUCAAUCAGAAACUGUUUGGAGACAAGCUGAUAAAUACGGAGUCCCUAGGAUAUGUUUCGUAAAUAAGAUGGAUCGUCUUGGAGCUAAUUUCUUCCGAACAAGAGACAUGAUAGUAACAAACUUGGGUGCUAAACCACUUGUAAUUCAGAUACCAAUUGGUGCAGAGGAUACAUUCAAAGGAUUAGUUGAUCUUGUGAUGAUGAAAGCUAUUGUUUGGUCCGGAGAAGAAUUAGGGGCAAAGUUUUCCUAUGAGGACAUUCCUGCUGAUCUUCAAGAGCUAGCUGAGGAGUAUAGGGCACUGAUGAUUGAGACUGUAGUUGAAUUGGAUGAUGAUGUAAUGGAGAAAUACCUGGAAGGAGUUGAACCUGAUGAGGCAACCAUCAAACAGUUGAUCAGGAAGGGAACUAUAUCUGGUAAUUUUGUCCCUGUAUUGUGUGGCUCAGCUUUCAAGAACAAGGGGGUUCAGCCGCUGCUCGAUGCAGUUGUGGAUUAUUUGCCUUCUCCAGUUGACGUGCCACCCAUGAAUGGAACUGACCCUGACAACCCAGAAGUAAUCAUUGAGAGGGCCCCUAGUGAUGAUGAACCAUUUACUGGUUUGGCAUUUAAGAUCAUGAAUGAUCCUUUUGUUGGGUCUCUCACAUUUGUUAGGGUAUAUUCAGGAAAGCUUAGUGCAGGAUCGUAUGUAUUGAAUGCAAACAAAGGCAGGAAAGAGAGAAUUGGCAGACUUCUGGAAAUGCAUGCUAACAGUAGAGAGGAUGUAAAGACAGCGUUAACUGGUGAUAUUGUUGCUCUUGCUGGAUUGAAAGAUACAAUUACAGGAGAGACAUUGUCUGAUCCCGAGAAGCCUGUUGUGCUUGAGCGCAUGGAUUUCCCAGAUCCUGUUAUAAAGGUUGCAAUUGAACCUAAGACCAAGGCAGACAUUGAUAAGAUGGCGCAAGGUUUAAUAAAACUGGCACAAGAGGAUCCGUCUUUCCAUUUUUCACGUGAUGAGGAGAUUAACCAGACAGUUAUUGAGGGAAUGGGAGAAUUACAUCUUGAGAUCAUUGUAGAUCGACUGAAAAGGGAAUUUAAGGUGGAAGCUAAUGUCGGAGCUCCACAAGUCAACUACCGCGAGAGCAUUUCCAGGAACUCAGAAGUAAAAUACGUGCAUAAGAAGCAGUCUGGUGGUUCAGGACAGUUUGCUGAUAUCACAGUAAGGUUUGAACCCAUGGAAGCAGGUGGUGGAUAUGAAUUCAAGAGUGAAAUCAAGGGA